rnacentral:lncRNA from 1 species
UGAAGUCCAAGUGACUGGUUGGAUCACGUAGUUCUGUACGGUCUUUGUUGAGUAGUUGUUUGGUGGAUCUGUGCAUCAGGAGAGCGGUGUGUGAAAGGGACCCAGAAUUAUUCUGUUGUGACGGAUAUCAUUGUUGAAGUGGAGAAGGGUUUGUUGGAUGUAUGCAGAUGCUCCAUUGUUUGGGGCAUAAAUGUUCAAUAUUUAUGUUUUGUUGAUGUCUAAUUUUUCUCAGCCAUCUGAAAUGUCCUUCUUUGUCCCUUCUGAUGACCUUUGGCUUGAAGUCCAUUUUAUCUGAUAGGAGGAUGGACCCCCCUGCUUACUUACCUACGAGAC